rnacentral:lncRNA from 1 species
CUUGAGUAUGAAUGGCUGUAAUGUGAAUUGAGAAAGAUAGCAACGGAUAUUGAUACAGUCUGACUGUAUGAGUUUUAUGCAGCCGAUGCCUAAGAAGAACCUUGGAUUUGGAGGGGUCGUUGCUGGCACACAUGAGUGCAUGCAUCGGAGAGCAAGAGUGCUCAGCCAGCUCCCCCAAAAAGCCUGUCCCUCGGACAGGAGAGACCCCUGCCACACAGACCUCCGCUCCCAUGCAGCGAGCAGCGUCAGAAACAAAAAUCGAAUAAAAAAAGAGGUAAUAAAAGGAUUUCAUUACAUAUAGUUAAUUACCUCCCAGGCCCAGGCCAACCCUUUCCUGGCGAAAGAAUUAGAGAACCUUAAUUGCUGUAUCACCCGGCCUGUGAUUUCCGGCAAUCACGCGGCUUUCAUUUAAUUCGGCUGCCAGGGGACAAUGGGGUGAGCUCUACUCUCUACCUGCCCUGGAGCACAGAUGCACGUGGGGUGGAGUGGGGUGAGCCCCAAACUGGCAAAUUUAGUGUCUGUGAAUUAAUGAAAAUCAACAGCGGAGUCUGACGACUGCCCCUGAGGUGCGUGUUAGUGGAGGAUGCUGUGCUUGAGAAGGAGAUGACUAGUGAAGGCCUGUUUCAGUAGUGGUGAGAAGGCAUGGGAAAACCUCACACUGGUCGCCUGAGGAUAAAAGAAGUAACCGGAGGGAUUUGGACAGCUAACGAUAUCCAUGCAAUUAACACAGUCUGUACGAGAAGGAGGAAACCUGACAGUCUGUUGAAUGUCAGUAUGAUUAAAAGGCA